CCGCCUCCAGUGCGGAUGCAACUUAUUCAAACUUUUAAACGGUUCGGAAUAUCAAUAUUCUUUCAACAUAACACGUUCCUCCCCAGCUCUUCUGCACUGUCCAGAGCUGAUACAAGUGCCAUGGCUAGAAGGACAUUGUCACCCUCUCGCAGUCGUAUAUUCAGACAGUUUCUCCUCUGUCACUUUCUCCAUCUUCUGUGUCAGCAACUGCCAAACCACCAAACUGUUAGCCACUGUGUCAACAGCCAUGACUGCUGAUCCCCCAGGACCACCAGGGUGAUGGCCACCAGCACCUGAGCAACAGCUGCUGGGUCUUUAGGCUGGGGAUAAGCACUGUCCCACGAAUGGACCGAGUGGACCAUCUGGACAAGGACUGAAACUGGUUAAACACUCAGCAACCAGCAGGUCUGCACCAUCAUAGCUCUCUGUCAAAACUUAAUGCCAUAUGACAAGCAGCGUGAGGCAUCCCCUGCUCGGCAUCAUGUGCGGUUGAGCACUGGACUUUAGACAUCCCAAAACAAAGGGUGAAUUUACACCAGGUGUGGGGACCAUGGCUUCUCGUGUCUUGUGUCUUAGGAUCCACCGGAUCACCUGGCCAGUAGACAGACUGUUGUUGCCUAGCAGAGGCCA